UCCUAGCCCUGAUAGAAGUGAAAAUCCUUUAUUGUUUUGCUGCCAAAAACAAUAAAGAUUGUAACGGAUAGCAGGAAAUUGC
rnacentral:sRNA from 1 species